ACUUCCUCUCCGUAAGGUAAUUUAUUCCCGUCUAAACUCUUCUUCGAACAACACAUAAAAUUUGUGGUCUCUUUCUUUAAUAUUUUUAAGCCAUUAAUUAAAAUCAAGCCCUACAAAAUAUCUUCUUAUUUAACAAGAUCCCCCUUGUUCAGCCCCAAUCAUCAUUUAACUGGUCUAUCGCAAGUUAGAAUCUGAAAAUUCAUCCACCAUGAAGAUCGCAUUCGUUUUUAUUCUCGUCCUGACAGGGAUGACUAUCGCGCAGGGUGCAGGGUUACCAGAAGGGAUCAAUUUGGACGAUAUUAGUGCAAAAGCUUUCUGCCCGUCGAUGAUAGCCGCCUGUAAAAAUGGUGAUGACGACGGUGUCGAAUGCUUGGAUUCGGGCCCUUCGAAAUAUGCUCAUUGCGAGAAUCCACCCAGUCGUGAGUUUGACGACGCUUGCCUGGAAUAUCCUAAAGGCUGCAAGGUCUCCAUUAACGAAAAUUUGCAUGUAUGUCAAUGUUAAUGUGGUAUUGAUCUGCGGUAUGAUUUGGUUACACAAAUACAUAUUGAGUUUAGAAAGUAAUAUUGAUGUUUUUUUAUUACAAAAUUGUGUGAAGAUUCAUGCGAAAUAAAACACGGCAUGGUGUGCUUGAAUUAUUUCUUGAAA